AUUGAACGCUGGCGGCAGGCCUAACACAUGCAAGUCGAGCGGAUGAAGGGAGCUUGCUCCUGGAUUCAGCGGCGGACGGGUGAGUAAUGCCUAGGAAUCUGCCUGGUAGUGGGGGAUAACGUCCGGAAACGGGCGCUAAUACCGCAUACGUCCUGAGGGAGAAAGUGGGGGAUCUUCGGACCUCACGCUAUCAGAUGAGCCUAGGUCGGAUUAGCUAGUUGGUGGGGUAAAGGCCUACCAAGGCGACGAUCCGUAACUGGUCUGAGAGGAUGAUCAGUCACACUGGGACUGAGACACGGUCCAGACUCCUACGGGAAGCAGCAGUGGGGAAUAUUGGACAAUGGGCGAAAGCCUGAUCCAGCCAUGCCGCGUGUGUGAAGAAGGUCUUCGGAUUGUAAAGCACUUUAAGUUGGGAGGAAGGGCAGUAAGUUAAUACCUUGCUGUUUUGACGUUACCAACAGAAUAAGCACCGGCUAACUUCGUG
rnacentral:rRNA from 1 species